rnacentral:sRNA from 1 species
AUAACAUCAUAAGUCUAUUGUGUGAACAUCGAUAGCUCAUUGGAAUUUGACCCUUAAGUGCUAACGACGAUCUCUUAUUGGAGGGAGUAAGCUUAAGGCAAUUUGAGCAAUAUCAAAUUUGGCGCCGUUAGCGAAGUUCUCUUUUAGUUUACCAUUAGACUAGGUGUCCUUUUAAGUCUAGAUACUUCUUUUCUAUCACCUACUCACGUGUUUCAUGUACCUUCAGAUUGAUAAUCACGUUUCCAUGGCAGACUUUCACGGCUGUGUCGACCAACACCACUGCAGAACUAGACGGCUACAAUAGGCGAUUUUAACAGAACUGAUCUCUUAUACACCAACCGAUCAGCAUUUAAGCUACCUCCAUUUGAAAGAGAAGACUUUGCUAUACACCCUGCCUAUUAUGAUCUUGUAUCUAGAGGAAAGUUUAGAGGAUCUCCUGAUGAAACACCAUUAGAUCAUUUGGAAGUCUUCGAAGACAUAGUUUCCUCUAUCAAAGUAGAAGCUGAAGAAAGUAGAUGCAUUCUUUGUACCAGCUGAUUACCUUCUUUGCAAACUCUUCCCCCACUCCUUCGCGAGCAGAGGAACAUCAUGGUUGCGUCAACUGGAACCAGCUUUUAACCAAUUGGACUGAUACAAAGAAUGCAUCCAUGAAACACUUGUUUGCAAAUCUCUUCGUUCACUCAGGCUCUAGCCGAGUCCCUUAGUGCAUCUUGGCUACUGAUAGUAUGUUUUUAGUCAAUUAUCCUAAAACACCAAUCAUGUCAUUGUAGUAUUUUAGGUUGUCAAUCCAAAUGGGUGUGAUGCUAACAAUCAAGAUGUGAUCAGAAGUCACUAAGUCAAGCCAAGCAUAACAGGUUUUGGUGUGUUCUAGCAGUCCUAAGUGAACAUGUAAAAAACAGAAAAUCAAACAGAAACAGUAAAACGCUCGACCAACACAGCUCUUUGCAGAGCACUGGGUGAGGUCGAGUGACAGGUCGAGUAACAGACAGAAGAUGAAACAGGGAUACUCGACUGCACAGUCUGUUGCCAGACAACAGGGUGGUCGAGUAUCAGGUCGAGUAACCGUAAAGAAUUGUAGAAACUAAGCAACAGAUGACAGGAUGCAGUACACAGUAGUAGAGUAAACAAUAAAAUCAAUCAGAUAAAGAAUUCCUAAGGAUGGGAUAAUUGAGUAGUUUCGUUUCCUCAGUUUACAGGUGAUUGACAUGCUCAAUAAAUUAACCCUUGACAACAAGUUCAUUAACCAAAUCUAAGUGCCACCGCAACAGAGACUCUCAAGCUAACCUAGUCCCAGACUCAAUCACCAUUGACGAGAGCUAACCUAACAGGCAUUACGAAUCAACAAGUUAAAGCCAAAACGCUCCCUGCAACCAAUACCUUGGUACAGGGUCACAAAUCUCUGGAAUUAGUGGUUCAGACAUUUCAUCGAACACCUUUUGGGCGCGGAAAUGUCUGGGCUCAAAUUCCAGUUGAUCAGAAAGCAAUAGGCAUUAAGAACAACUAAUCCAGAAGGGAUCUAUCAAUCAAUACUCAAUCACCUAGCAUACUGAGAAUUCUACACUACUCUAACCAUAACCAUACUCAGAAACCUAUUCACUACUCAGACAUCAUAACAGAAAGCAUAAACGUUGAACAAAUUGUAAACAUGAUAACAACAAUGUAACAGCAGGAUGAUAACAGAAUGAACAACAGUAAACGAAAUCAAGUACAGAAACUGAAUACUGAAUACUGAAUAGAUAAAGAGAAAUCCGGAUUACAAAAAGUCUAGAACACAAGUUCUGCGGAAAUAAAACUAGAUAAAAAACUU